UUACCAGUCAGUUCAGAUAUAAUUGUUAUGUUCAUUUUCAAUGUUCAUUCAGCUUUGAAAUUUUGUUCAUGCUAAUUCACAACUACAUUGUGAAGGAUAGCCAGCUUAUUAUUCAAACUCUUUCAAUCAUGAUAUAUCUUUACCUUGUUUUUUUUAAACUUGCUGGGCAACUUUCAUGCUCACCCUUGCUAUAUCAUGAUAAAACAUUGCAGAUAAGGCGAAUACGGCCAGAUACAGGAAAAGGAUAAUGCCAAGUUCAGCUUGGGAUAAAAUGUGAAGUUAAGUUAUAAAGUAUGUUGAAGAAUAGUAUUGUCAUGUGUUAGACAGUUCACGAUUGUGUAUUAGUUAAGGUUACUCGAUUUUGGGAAUAGUGUGUAAAGUUUAAUGUAUAAACAAUUUAUGUUUAUAUCUUCCGCAACAGUUGUAGAAAUAGCGAACCG
rnacentral:lncRNA from 1 species